CCUCGUCGAGCAGUUGCGGGCAGAUGAAGUGCACGUGGCAGUCGAUCGCGCCCGCGGUGAGGAUGCGGCCGUUACCGGAGAUGAUCUCGGUCGACGGGCCGACCACCAGAUCCGGGUGCACGCCGUCCAUGGUCUCGGGGUUUCCGGCCUUGCCGAUCGCGCAGAUCCGGCCGUCGCGAAUGCCGAUGUCGGCCUUGAUGAUUCCCCAGUGAUCGAUGAUCACCGCACCGGUGAUCACGGUGUCGGGAGUGCCCUCGGCGCGGGUGGCCCGGGCCUGGCCCAUCGAUUCGCGCAGG
rfam:Nocardia nova SH22a, complete genome.